AGAAUCAACGCUGGCGGCGUGCCUAACACAUGCAAGUCGAACGAGAAAGUGGAGCAAUCCAUUAGUAAAGUGGCGCACGGGUGAGUAACACGUGACUAACCUACCCUUGAGUGGGGGAUAACCUAGAGAAAUCUGGGCUAAUACCGCAUAAUACCUUCGGGUCAAAGGAGCAAUUCGCUUAAGGAGGGGGUCGCGGCCGAUUAGUUAGUUGGCGGGGUAAUGGCCCACCAAGACUAUGAUCGGUAUCCGGCCUGAGAGGGCGCACGGACACACUGGAACUGAAACACGGUCCAGACUCCUACGGGAGGCAGCAGUGGGAUUUGCGCAAUGGGGGAAACCCUGACGCAGCAACGCCGCGUGGAGGAUGAAGCCCCUUGGGGCGUAAACUCCUUUCGAUCGGGACGAUAAUGACGGUACCGAGAGAAGAAGCCCGGCUAACUCGCGCCAGCAGCCGC
rnacentral:rRNA from 1 species